CUAGAAGCGCUUGGGAUAAUCACGCCACUGGACGUUGCUCUAUAUUGACCAUACGCCGACAGAGUAUAUAAGGAAGAGAUGUUGCUUCUUUAAGGCAUAACACAAUUUUUGUGCAAAUUUAAUCCUCAUUUUCACUUCAUUCAACGAAAACAAAUCAAAAUCCAAAAAUGGGUGCUGAAAAAGUAACAAUGAACAUCGUUGUCGUCGGACAAGUCCAAUCUGCCAAGGCCAUCAAAUCGGUCGCCAAAGCUACCCCAGCCACCAGCCAGUUGAUGAACUGUUAAUUCAUGACAUCAACCUCAAAUUCAAAAAUGCCAUAGCCCAAACUACACAUAAUUUUAUAAUUUGUAGAUAAUUAUAGCAAUAUGUGUUGACAUUGCAAAAUAAAUCAGUCUCUUCCGUCAAU
rnacentral:lncRNA from 1 species